rnacentral:rRNA from 1 species
GACGAACGCUGGCGGCGUGCUUAACACAUGCAAGUCGAACGGAAAGGCCCUGCUUUUGUGGGGUGCUCGAGUGGCGAACGGGUGAGUAACACGUGAGUAACCUGCCCUUGACUUUGGGAUAACUUCAGGAAACUGGGGCUAAUACCGGAUAGGAGCUCCUGCUGCAUGGUGGGGGGUGGAAAGUUUCGGCGGUUGGGGAUGGACUCACGGCUGAUCAGCUUGUUGGUGGGGUAGUGGCUUACCAAGGCUUUGACGGGUAGCCGGCCUGAGAGGGUGACCGGCCACAUUGGGACUGAGAUACGGCCCAGACUCCUACGGGAGGCAGCAGUGGGGAAUAUUGCACAAUGGGCGGAAGCCUGAUGCAGCAACGCCGCGUGCGGGAUGACGGCCUUCGGGUUGUAAACCGCUUUCGCCUGUGACGAAGCGUGAGUGACGGUAAUGGGUAAAGAAGCACCGGCUAACUACGUG